UUUAUGUAGUAAUGUAAAUUCUUUCUGAGUCGGUAAAGCGUGAGUAGCAUGUCUUGUGUAAUCCACCGUCAUUGGGUAUUGGAGGUUUACCAUUACUACUACUACUACUACUGUAAUCUGCCGACAUGGCCAGGUGUUGAGCGACAACUCCUUGCAAUUUCUGCUUGUGCAUCUUCCAAAGUCUUCCAUUUUGGAAGAUAUUCUAAAAAA